CAGCCAGACUCCUACGGGAGGCAGCAGUGGGGAAUAUUGGGCAAUGGAGGCAACUCUUACCCAGCAAUGCCGCGUGAAUGAAGAAGGUCUUCGGAUUGUAAAGUUCUUUAAUUGGGGACGAAAAAAAUGACGGUACCCAAGGAAUAAGCCCCGGCUAACUACGUGCCAGCAGCCGCGGUAAUACGUAGGGAGCAAGCGUUGUCCGGAUUUACUGGGUGUAAAGGGUGCGUAGGCGGCCUUGCAAGUCAGAAGUGAAAUCCAUGGGCUUAACCCGUGAACUGCUUUUGAAACUGUAGGGCUUGAGUGAAGUAGAGGCAGGCGGAAUUCCCGGUGUAGCGAUGAAAUGCGUAGAGAUCGGGAGGAACACCAGUGGCGAAGGCGGCCUGCUGGGCUUUAACUGACGCUGAAGCACGAAAGCGUGGGUAGCAAACAGGAUUAGAUACCCCCGUAU
rnacentral:rRNA from 1 species